UCAUACAGCACCAUCAUUAAUAUUGAUAUAAAUGUCAAUGGAAAACAGCUAAAUCAAAUGAAGAGGGAAUGUUAGCUGUCAUUUCAGAGUUUGAUGUGACUGGGUUAGCUUUUGAUGUGUUAGGUUAGCUCUUAGCUCUUUGAUGUGACUGGGUUAGCUUUUGAUGUGUUAGGUUAGCUCUUAGCUCUUUGAUGUGACUGGGUUAGCUUUUGAUGUGUUAGGUUAGCUCUUAGCUCUUUGAUGUGACUGGGUUAGCUUUUGAUGUGUUAGGUUAGCUCUUAGCUCUUUGAUGUGACUGGGUUAGCUUUUGAUGUGUUAGGUUAGCUCUUAGCUCUUUGAUGUGACUGGGUUAGCUUUUGAUGUGUUAGGUUAGCUCUUAGCUCUUUGAUGUGACUGGGUUAGCUUUUGUUUGCUGUUUAAUUUCUAAAAUCCCCAUUACACUCUAGAGAGGGAUAGAACCCUCAAGGUUUUUUGUCUUCACUGGAUAUAUAUAUAUAUAUAUAUAUAUAUAUAAGUAUAGUAUAGGCUUCUAAAGGUUCUAUAUAGUAAAGGUUCUA